AGUCGACGGUGAACACGGAGCUUGCUCUGUGGGAUCAGUGGCGAACGGGUGAGUAACACGUGAGCAACCUGCCCCUGACUCUGGGAUAAGCGCUGGAAACGGCGUCUAAUACUGGAUACGAGUAGCGAUCGCAUGGUCAGCUACUGGAAAGAUUUAUUGGUUGGGGAUGGGCUCGCGGCCUAUCAGCUUGUUGGUGAGGUAAUGGCUCACCAAGGCGUCGACGGGUAGCCGGCCUGAGAGGGUGACCGGCCACACUGGGACUGAGACACGGCCCAGACUCCUACGGGAGGCAGCAGUGGGGAAUAUUGCACAAUGGGCGCAAGCCUGAUGCAGCAACGCCGCGUGAGGGAUGACGGCCUUCGGGUUGUAAACCUCUUUUAGCAGGGAAGAAGCGAAAGUGACGGUACCUGCAGAAAAAGCGCCGGCUAACUACGUGCCAGCAGCCGCGGUAAUACGUAGGGCGCAAGCGUUAUCCGGAAUUAUUGGGCGUAAAGAGCUCGUAGGCGGUUUGUCGCGUCUGCUGUGAAAUCCGGAGGCUCAACCUCCGGCCUGCAGUGGGUACGGGCAGACUAGAGUGCGGUAGGGGAGAUUGGAAUUCCUGGUGUAGCGGUGGAAUGCGCAGAUAUCAGGAGGAACACCGAUGGCGAAGGCAGAUCUCUGGGCCGUAACUGACGCUGAGGAGCGAAAGGGUGGGGAGCAAACAGGCUU
rnacentral:rRNA from 1 species